UACGGGGGGGGCAAGCGUUGUUCGGAAUUACUGGGCGGAAAGGGCUCGUAGGCGGCCAACUAAGUCAGACGUGAAAUCCCUCGGCUUAACCGGGGAACUGCAUCUGAUACUGGAUGGCUUGGGUUCGGGAGAGGGAUGCGGAAUUCCAGGUGUAGCGGUGAAAUGCGUAGAUAUCUGGAGGAACACCGGUGGCGAAGGCGGCAUCCUGGACCGACACUGACGCUGAGGAGCGAAAGCCAGGGGAGCAAACGGG
rnacentral:rRNA from 1 species